UGAUAAAGGCUGUUAGGGGCACUUGGAAUUUCGUCUGUUUCUAGGCAACACCGGCACAGGGAUGUGCCGGUGAGGUGCAGAUGAACAUGGAUGUGAAUUUGCACCGGUUGCCGGAAUAGACUGUAUCUUUUUCGAAAUUCUUAGUGUCCCUUGCAGGCUUUAUGC
rfam:Roseburia sp. CAG:45 genomic scaffold, scf36